GGGCUACUUGUUGGACGAAAAAUAUCCUUGAUAAGGGCAAUAUUCUACAUAGCAGCACAGUCUGCCGGAGCAAUCUGCGGUACCGGACUUGCCAAAGGUUUCCAAAAGGCAUACUUUGACAGGUAUGGAGGUGGUGCCAACUUUAUCCAUGAUGGUUACAACAAAGGUACAGCUUUAGGUGCUGAAAUUAUUGGUACCUUUGUUCUUGUGUACACUGUCUUCUCUGCCACUGAUCCUAAGAGGAAUGCUAGAGACUCUCAUGUUCCUGUUUUGGCACCACUUCCUAUUGGAUUUGCUGUUUUCAUGGUUCAUUUGGCUACUAUCCCAAUUACC
rnacentral:lncRNA from 1 species